GACGAACGCUGGCGGCGUGCCUAAUACAUGCAAGUAGAACGCUGAAGGAGGAGCUUGCUUCUCUGGAUGAGUUGCGAACGGGUGAGUAACGCGUAGGUAACCUGCCUGGUAGCGGGGGAUAACUAUUGGAAACGAUAGCUAAUACCGCAUAAGAGUAGAUGUUGCAUGACAUUUGCUUAAAAGGUGCAAUUGCAUCACUACCAGAUGGACCUGCGUUGUAUUAGCUAGUUGGUGAGGUAACGGCUCGCCAAGGCGACGAUACAUAGCCGACCUGAGAGGGUGAUCGGCCACACUGGGACUGAGACACGGCCCAGACUCCUACGGGAGGCAGCAGUAGGGAAUCUUCGGCAAUGGACGGAAGUCUGACCGAGCAACGCCGCGUGAGUGAAGAAGGUUUUCGGAUCGUAAAGCUCUGUUGUAAGAGAAGAACGAGUGUGAGAGUGGAAAGUUCACACUGUGACGGUAUCUUACCAGAAAGGGACGGCUAACUACGUG
rnacentral:rRNA from 1 species